GAAAUGCGAUAAGUAAUGUGAAUUGCAGAAUUCAGUGAAUCAUCGAAUCUUUGAACGCACAUUGCGCCCGGCAGUAAUCUGCCGGGCAUGCCUGUCCGAGCGUCAUUUCUGCCCUCGAGCGCGGUCCGCCCUAGCCGGCGGGCCGCCGCCUCGGUGUUGGGGCGCCACGGGGGAGCCCUAGCGCUCCCCCGCGGGCCCCGAAAUGAAGUGGCGGCCCCGCCGCGGCGCCCCCUGCGUAGUACCUACAGCUCGCAUCGGGUCCCGGCGGAGGCCUGCCGUCAAGCCCUCAACUCAAGAUGGUUUGACCUCGGAUCAGGUAGGACUACCCGCUGAACUUAA
rnacentral:misc_RNA from 1 species